rnacentral:rRNA from 1 species
ACGGAAGGCAGCAGUGGGGAAUAUUGCACAAUGGGGGAAACCCUGAUGCAGCGACGCCGCGUGAGUGAAGAAGUAUUUCGGUAUGUAAAGCUCUAUCAGCAGGGAAGAAAAUGACGGUACCUGACUAAGAAGCCCCGGCUAACUACGUGCCAGCAGCCGCGGUAAUACGUAGGGGGCAAGCGUUAUCCGGAUUUACUGGGUGUAAAGGGAGCGCAGACGGCAUGACAAGUCUGAAGUGAAAUCCCCGGGCUCAACCCGGGAACUGCUUUGGAAACUGCCAGGCUAGAGUGCAGGAGGGGCAAGCGGAAUUCCUAGUGUAGCGGUGAAAUGCGUAGAUAUUAGGAGGAACACCAGUGGCGAAGGCGGCUUGCUGGACGACAACUGACGCUGAGGCGCGAAAGCGUGGGGAGCAAACAGGAUUAGAUACCCUGGUA